UAUCAGAGAUGAAUUAACAGCUUGCUUCCUUGACAUUGCUCUGUUCUUCUAGCUUCGUCAGCAUUAGAAAUUGCAUGUGAGCGAUAUAUGACAUAUUAUAAUUACUUUACUCGGAAUUCAGUUAAUUAGGAUCCAUUUUUAUAUAGUAAAAAAAAAAAAACAUGAUAUUCGUUAUUUCUUUACUUUACUCCUACAAUGAACCGCUGUCAUUGUAGGAGUUGUCCAAUCUUGUCUUCGUUGUGUUAAAUCCAUCAAUUCUUGGAAUCGCAGGGAAGAGCAUGAACUGUCAGAAACUGUGCAAUCAAAAAUAGUUUUUAGAGAGUAUAAUCACUUUCUAAUUUCUAUGCUCACUACAAAAUAAAAAAGAAAAAAAUAGGAUCUAGCUGCGAAGUUUAAUACUAAUUUAUCGUUAAAUAGUUUGUAACUAAUAAGAUCUUUUGAUAUUCUUCUUCAAUUAUACUUUGCCCACUGUCAUAAUUUUCAAUCCACCUACCAACUCCCUAAAUUCUUGUUUUACCCCGUCGAAUGGAUCUUCAGGGUAAAGAAACCUGCCUUCCUCUAUCAUAUAAUUACAUAUAGAAUUAACGAUGUCUUGAAUAUCAGAAUUUUCAACAACAAACUCAACGUCAAGCUAGUUCUAGUUCAACUGCACUUGUCCUCCUCCUACUCUAAUUAUCACAUUUGGGUUUUAUAAACAAACAACACAUAAGCGGCCCAACAGCAAUUCAGCAGCAAACAAGAACAUUGCCCAACAACCAUUGAAUCGUCCAACAAUAGCUGAAUGAUCUCUUUCAUUGUCUAGCUUAGAAUAGAAGGUUCUUUCCCUUCCAUUAGCUUAUUUAAAUAAAUGUGAUUGGCAAGGAAUAUACGGAGAAGAAAAUUCCCAAAUACUGUCUCUUGGUUUUUACAGUUGAUAGCAAAAUGAAAUAUAAACAAAUUAGAAGCCUUUUUAUCAUUCACAAUACAUUGAUAUGUCAGCCCUGGAUGUAUAGGUCUUUUGAAAUUCGAGUCAUUUUUAUUUGAAAAAUCUAGAGAUGAAAUAGACGUAUCGCUGCGAAUACGCCUGGCUAGUUCAUGCAUUACUUGAUGUUUUUCAUCAAAUGAUUCUUGUUUUUUCCCCUUUUCCAGUUACAUGAGUAAGGAGGAUGCGGUUUAGAGCUGCACAUGUUCAAGGAUUUUGGUAACAAUAAGCUCUUAGGUCAAUUGGUGAAAGGAAAAUCAUGCUAGCAUUCUCCCUUGAAAGGACAAUCACCUCGACUGUGGUCUACGAGCAAACUGUCAGCUUUCACGUAGGGAAUACCUGCCAACUCCGACUAGCAACAAAUAUCAAGUAACGUUGUCCCCCAAGGUUAGGACAGAUGGGAAGAAUCACCUAGUGUUUUUUUGUCUCCGUUGAGAUUUGAACCUUGUGGUUCUCAACCCAUUUCAUGGACCACUAAGGUAUAUCUGGACUACAAUCUAGACUGAAACUUCGGGUAGAAUCUUCAGUACCAAUAACCAUAGCGCACGGAGUAUGGUAGAAUUCCUCGGUACGGUUCAGUAAUCAUGUGACGCGACAAAAGGUGUUUCCCUUACUUCUGGAAUAGGGGGGCUUCCUUGUUAUUAAGGUGUCAAGACGCUCAAAGGUCACAAGUGGGAGCAACUGGUACUUUGAUCAUUCAAUUGACUCCUUUCUGCCAGUCCGUGCUUGCUGUCAUGCUGGCAAAAGCAGGGAUGUCGGUCGGUUAUACCUGCUAUUGGAUUUUUCAGAUCAAUUCUUCGCAGCAAUCACUUUGAUCCACCCAAAUUCUGUAAGCUCGAACACCAAUUAGAAGUAGUCAUUUUCUAGUACCACUUACAUGAUCCAGUUUUAUUAGCUAUCAGAACUGAUAUGUUGUCCUAAUUACAAUAGGUCCACUAGUUUAUUAUAGGUGAGGAUGACACUAUGCUCUCAGAAUUGUAAAGUUUAUGCAGGUAAUUCUUUUACUACUGUGACUAUUCAGCAUAUAGAUUUGGCUGUUCAAACAUUCAAAUUUUCUACCAAAUAGAAAAUUUCACUUGAUUGCACCAACAAAUCACAAAGCAUUGCCUCUCAAAUCAAUCAAUGGAGCAUACAACUCUAAUGGAACCCAAAGGUACGUGAGAAUUAAAAGUUGUGUAAUGGAACACACAAAAGAACAUAUUGUUUUGAUGAUGCUCAACGAUUAUUUGGGAAGUGAAAAAGUUUCAAAGAUCUCUGCUCAAGUCGAGAAGGGACAAGUCGAGAAGGGAAAGCUAUUGAAGCUUUGAUUGGUACUUAAUUCUCAUGUUGGAUGGUACAUCGAUCAAGACUAUGGAUGUCAUAACUUGUAUUGUUGGCUUUUGGUUUUGGAUUAGGCUCGCACGACUUUAAAAUGUGUCAGAAGGUUCUAAGGCUCGCUUCUUUGUAUACUAGCAAUCAAUGGCUAUCGUGUGUUUUGUUUUGUUGAUGUGACAAUGGCUUUCUUGUUUUACCCCAUCGUCGAAUGGGUCUUCAGGAAACCUAAUUUCCUCUAUAAUGUAAAUACAUAUAGAAUCAACUAUGUCUUGAAUAUUAGAAUUUUCAACAACAAACUCAA